rnacentral:rRNA from 1 species
AAAUUGAAGAGUUUGAUCAUGGCUCAGAUUGAACGCUGGCGGCAGGCCUAACACAUGCAAGUCGAGCGGUAGCACAGAGAGCUUGCUCUCGGGUGACGAGCGGCGGACGGGUGAGUAAUGUCUGGGAAGCUGCCUGAUGGAGGGGGAUAACUACUGGAAACGGUAGCUAAUACCGCAUAACGUCGCAAGACCAAAGUGGGGGACCUUCGGGCCUCAUGCCAUCAGAUGUGCCCAGAUGGGAUUAGCUAGUAGGUGGGGUAACGGCUCACCUAGGCGACGAUCCCUAGCUGGUCUGAGAGGAUGACCAGCCACACUGGAACUGAGACACGGUCCAGACUCCUACGGGAGGCAGCAGUGGGGAAUAUUGCACAAUGGGCGCAAGCCUGAUGCAGCCAUGCCGCGUGUGUGAAGAAGGCCUUCGGGUUGUAAAGCACUUUCAGCGGGGAGGAAGGCGUUAAGGUUAAUAACCUUGGCGAUUGACGUUACCCGCAGAAGAAGCACCGGCUAACUCCGUGCCAGCAGCCGCGGUAAUACGGAGGGUGCAAGCGUUAAUCGGAAUUACUGGGCGUAAAGCGCACGCAGGCGGUCUGUCAAGUCGGAUGUGAAAUCCCCGGGCUCAACCUGGGAACUGCAUUCGAAACUGGCAGGCUAGAGUCUUGUAGAGGGGGGUAGAAUUCCAGGUGUAGCGGUGAAAUGCGUAGAGAUCUGGAGGAAUACCGGUGGCGAAGGCGGCCCCCUGGACAAAGACUGACGCUCAGGUGCGAAAGCGUGGGGAGCAAACAGGAUUAGAUACCCUGGUAGUCCACGCCGUAAACGAUGUCGAUUUGGAGGUUGUGCCCUUGAGGCGUGGCUUCCGGAGCUAACGCGUUAAAUCGACCGCCUGGGGAGUACGGCCGCAAGGUUAAAACUCAAAUGAAUUGACGGGGGCCCGCACAAGCGGUGGAGCAUGUGGUUUAAUUCGAUGCAACGCGAAGAACCUUACCUGGUCUUGACAUCCACAGAACUUUCCAGAGAUGGAUUGGUGCCUUCGGGAACUGUGAGACAGGUGCUGCAUGGCUGUCGUCAGCUCGUGUUGUGAAAUGUUGGGUUAAGUCCCGCAACGAGCGCAACCCUUAUCCUUUGUUGCCAGCGGUUCGGCCGGGAACUCAAAGGAGACUGCCAGUGAUAAACUGGAGGAAGGUGGGGAUGACGUCAAGUCAUCAUGGCCCUUACGACCAGGGCUACACACGUGCUACAAUGGCAUAUACAAAGAGAAGCGACCUCGCGAGAGCAAGCGGACCUCAUAAAGUAUGUCGUAGUCCGGAUUGGAGUCUGCAACUCGACUCCAUGAAGUCGGAAUCGCUAGUAAUCGUAGAUCAGAAUGCUACGGUGAAUACGUUCCCGGGCCUUGUACACACCGCCCGUCACACCAUGGGAGUGGGUUGCAAAAGAAGUAGGUAGCUUAACCUUCGGGAGGGCGCUUACCACUUUGUGAUUCAUGACUGGGGUGAAGUCGUAACAAGGUAACCGUAGGGGAACCUGCGGUUGGAUCACCUCCUUA